GACGUAGGGCGCGAGCGUUGUCCGGAUUUAUUGGGCGUAAAGAGCUCGUAGGCGGCUUGUCGCGUCGAAUGUGAAAUCCUGCGGCUCAACUGCAGGCUUGCAUUCGAUACGGGCAGGCUCGAGUUCGGUAGGGGAGACUGGAAUUCCUGGUGUAGCGGUGAAAUGCGCAGAUAUCUGGAGGAACACCGGUGGCGAAGGCGGCGUUCUGGACUGCAACUGACACUGAUGAACGAAAGCCAGGGGAGCAAACGGG
rnacentral:rRNA from 1 species